CAGUCGCCACGGUAAUACGGAGGGUGCAAGCGUUAUCCGGAUUUAUUGGGUUUAAAGGGUCCGUAGGCGGACUUAUAAGUCAGUGGUGAAAGCCUGUCGCUUAACGAUAGAACUGCCAUUGAUACUGUAAGUCUUGAGUAUAUUUGAGGUAGCUGGAAUAAGUAGUGUAGCGGUGAAAUGCAUAGAUAUUACUUAGAACACCAAUUGCGAAGGCAGGUUACCAAGAUAUAACUGACGCUGAGGGACGAAAGCGUGGGUAGCGAACAGGAUUAGAUACCCGGGUAGUCCCUGUCUCUUAUAC
rnacentral:rRNA from 1 species